GGGGCGCGCUCCCUGUUGGCCAGCUGGCAGGAGAGAGCUUGGGAGGGGCUGGCAGCCUAUGAAGCACCCCUAGCGCACCGCCUCUGCUCGUGGUGUGUAUGCGCGGGUUGCCUGCCUUUGCAGUGCCGUGCCCUAAGGAAGAGGAAGAGGCGGGCCCGGGCAGUGGUCGGCCGUAUUUAUUUAUGGGUGGGGGAAGGGGAGGAAGGUUAGGAGUAGUGUCGAGGGUGCUUGCCUUGGUUGUUUAGGGGUCGGUUAGAGCAGAGGCUAGCUGGGGUCCGAGCAGCUUAGGAGGAGGGGGUGGCGGAGUUCUACGUCUAGAAGCACUUCUGGGAGUGUCCGUUCUGGUAAUGGGAACUCCAACUCUCGAGGCUGUGGUAACUGUUACAGUUCCGGUUCUAGGUCCUGUUCCUCCCGUAAGGAGGCCUGGUCGUCGCAGAGUAGAAGCGACCGUUCGUCGACCUCCUACCAGCGUGGGAGCGACUGAUGUUGUAGGUCUUCCUCAGGUGGGAAGUGGAACAGGAGGCGGAAGCCCCUCCGUACGUCUAGAAGCAGUUCUGGGAGUGGCCGUUCUGGUAGUGCGAACUCCACCUCAGUAGACUGUGGUAGCUGUUACAGUUCCGGUUCUAGGUCCUGUUCCUCCCGUAGGGGGGCCUGGUCGUUGCGGAAUAGAAACGACCGUUCGUCGACCUCCUACCAGCGUGGGAGCGCCUGAUGUUGUAAGUCUUCCUCAGGUGGGAGGUGGAACACGAGGCGGAGGCACCACCAGUCAUU
rnacentral:rRNA from 1 species